UUUAACUGAAUUCAAGCCAUACCCACAUCAGCAACAGCACUUCUUCUACUCUGCCCCCUUGAGGGGUUUGCGAGGGGGCAAGAAUGGCAAGGACAAAAAUGAGAAAUGGACAUUCCAGAAAAGUCUCUAACUGUAGCCCUUAAGUGUUCUUGCCACAGUCUCUCCUUAGCUGUUCACUCAUUGCUUGCAGCUCUCGUCCAAAGUGGAUCAUUCUUUCUAUGGCGGCCUGACUUCCUCCACACAACUGACGUCUCAACUGACUCGAAUCAACUUCUGUAAGAAAAACAGACAAGUAUUCUACCACCUUAUGGAAUGUAGUAUAAUGAAGACAUGAACACAUAUUUCUUAUAACAUUUUGUACAUUUAGUAACUAUUCCCUAGUAUUUCAUCUAAAUGCGCAGAUUAUUAAAAAUUCAUUUUCAAUUUAAUAUGAAACUGCAGCUAAAAAAUAUGCUUUAUUUAGCACUCAAGAGUCUAGGAUCCAGUAUUUAGCAUGAAGUUGAGGGAGGACAACCUUUCAGUGUUAGAGUAUACUUAUGUCAGAAAAAAUUUUAGAAAAAGUGUAAUUCCCUAAAACUGUAUUAAGCAACAUUAAAAAAAGUUAAUAAUGCCUCUCAGGCUGCCUUAACUGACAUAAUAGAGGUAAAAAAUGUUCCUGAAAGCUAAGAGAAGCUAAAUGACUACAAUAAAAAUACAGAAGACAGCAUAUUAUACUAACAGAAAAAAUUAAAUGCAUUGCUUUUAGAAAAAUACCACUUUGAGAAAAUAGUUUUAUAUGUCUUGAUUGACAACCAAAUAAUUUAACUGUAUAAAUUGCUAAUAAUAUAUAAAUCAUGAAUAAUGAAGCAGGUAAUGGUGAUGAUGAUGGUAUUUCCCAAGCAGUUUGUGCUAUUAGCUUUUCAUAUUAUUCAUUUUCUUUGCACAAUAACUUAGGAAGUUGUUAUUAUUAUAUCCAUUUUACAGAUGAAGAAACAUACACAGAGUAGUUAAGUAAUUUUUCCAAGGUCACAAAGCUAGUAAUGGCAGUUGCAGAAAUCAACUCUAGGUAAUCUGGCUCUAGAACUCCUGCUCUUUAUCACUAUACUUAAAUCACCCUUUGGAAACUGAGAUGGCUGAUACUGAAGAGUAAAACAAAGCUGUAUUUCUUUUUUAAAAAUAAUUUUAUUAAUACCGCUCCAUCUCAAAAUAAUAAGAAAUCUAAUGCUGCCAUGGAAUUCCAACAAAUAAAUAAUCUGUAAUUUUCAUUCUCCAUUUGAUGGGAUAGUUCGCUAAUGGGACAAUUUACAAUACAAGUUGUCUACAAAAUAAAAUUAUGCACGCUAA